rnacentral:tRNA from 1 species
GCAUUGGUGGUUCAGUGGUAGAGCUCUCACCUUCCAUGAGGGAGACCCAAGUUCGAUUCCCGGCCAAUGCC